GCCUAACACAUGCAAGUCGAGCGGUAACAUUUCAAAAGCUUGCUUUUGAAGAUGACGAGCGGCGGACGGGUGAGUAAUGCCUGGGAACAUGCCUUGGUGUGGGGGAUAACUAUUGGAAACGAUAGCUAAUACCGCAUAACGUCUACGGACCAAAGAGGGGGCUCUUCGGACCUCUCGCGCCAAGAUUGGCCCAGGUGGGAUUAGCUAGUAGGUGGGGUAACGGCUCACCUAGGCGACGAUCCCUAGCUGGUCUGAGAGGAUGAUCAGCCACACUGGAACUGAGACACGGUCCAGACUCCUACGGGAGGCAGCAGUGGGGAAUAUUGCACAAUGGGGGAAACCCUGAUGCAGCCAUGCCGCGUGUGUGAAGAAGGCCUUCGGGUUGUAAAGCACUUUCAGUCGUGAGGAAGGCAGUGUAGUUAAUAGCUGCAUUGUUGGGCGUUAGCGACAGAAGAAGCACC
rnacentral:rRNA from 1 species